rnacentral:rRNA from 1 species
UACGGGGGGAGCAAGCGUUGUUCGGAUUUACUGGGCGUAAAGGGCGCGUAGGCGGCCACCGCAAGUCGACUGUGAAAUCUCCGGGCUUAACUCGGAAAGGUCAGCCGAUACUGCGGGGCUAGAGUGCAGAAGGGGCAACUGGAAUUCUCGGUGUAGCGGUGAAAUGCGUAGAUAUCGAGAGGAACACCUGCGGCGAAGGCGGGUUGCUGGGCUGACACUGACGCUGAGGCGCGACAGCGUGGGGAGCAAACAGG